UACGUAGGGGGCAAGCGUUGUCCGGAAUCAUUGGGCGUAAAGAGCGUGUAGGCGGCUCGAUAAGUCUGCUGUGAAAGUCCAGGGCUCAACCCUGGAAGGCCGGUGGAAACUGUCGGGCUAGAGUCCGGACGAGGCGAGUGGAAUUCCCGGUGUAGCGGUGAAAUGCGCAGAUAUCGGGAGGAACACCAAUGGCGAAGGCAGCUCGCUGGGACGGUACUGACGCUGAGACGCGAAAGCGUGGGGAGCAAACAGG
rnacentral:rRNA from 1 species